AGCCAUGCAUGUCUAAGUAUAAGCACUUGUACUGUGAAACUGCGAAUGGCUCAUUAAAUCAGUUAUCGUUUAUUUGAUUGUACCUUACUACAUGGAUACCUGUGGUAAUUCUAGAGCUAAUACAUGCGAAAAGUCCCAACUUCUGGAAGGGAUGUAUUUAUUAGAUUAAAAACCAAUGCAAGUCUUCGGGCUCGUUUUCUUGGUGAUUCAUGAUAACUUUUCGAAUCGCAUGGCCUAGAGCCGGCGAUACUUCAUUCAAAUUUCUGCCCUAUCAACUGUCGAUGGUAAGGUAGUGGCUUACCAUGGUUAUAACGGGUGACGGAGAAUUAGGGUUCGAUUCCGGAGAGGGAGCCUGAGAAACGGCUACCACAUCUAAGGAAGGCAGCAGGCUCGAAAAUUACCCAAUCCCGACUCGGGGAGGUAGUGACAAGAAAUAACGAUACGGGGUCUUAAUAGGUCUCGCAAUUGGAAUGAGUACAAUUUAAAUCCUUUAACGAGGAUCAAUUGGAGGGCAAGUCUGGUGCCAGCAGCCGCGGUAAUUCCAGCUCCAAUAGCGUAUAUUAAAGUUGUUGCAGUUAAAAAGCUCGUAGUUGGAUUUCGGAGUGGGCCAGUUGGUCCGCCGCAAGGUGUGUUACUGACUGGUUUGCUCUUCUUCGCAAAGACUGCGUGUGCUCUUGAGUGAGUGUGCGUAGAAUUUACGACGUUUACUUUGAAAAAAUUAGAGUGUUCAAAGCAGGCUAUUGCUUGAAUACAUGAGCAUGGAAUAAUGGAAUAGGACUUUGGUCCCAUUUUGUUGGUUUCUAGGGCCGAAGUAAUGAUUAAGAGGGACAAUUGGGGGCAUCCGUAUUUCGUUGUCAGAGGUGAAAUUCUUGGAUUUACGAAAGACGAACAACUGCGAAAGCACUUGCCAAGAGUGUUUUCAUUAAUCAAGAACGAAAGUUAGAGGAUCGAAGACGAUCAGAUACCGUCCUAGUUCUAACCAUAAACGAUGUC
rnacentral:rRNA from 1 species